UUUUCUUUUCAAGAUUUUAUUAGAAAGACAAAUAUUUGUAAACUGUAUUUUUCUUAUAGAUUUUAUGUUUGUGUAUAAGACAUUUAGAAUUGUGCUGAUAUAUUCGAGCUGAUUUUUUGUGUUUUUUUAUUAUUUUUUAUGUUUACAAAAUAGUAGAACAUCUAUAAAUUAAUAAUGUUAGGACUUUAAAAUUUUAUUAAUUUAUAGAGAUAUUAAUUUACAAAAUUUUCUGUUUUUAGAUUUUUUUCUAUUUUUGAAUAUUUUUAUUAAUAAAAUAAUAAAAUAUUUGAUUUUACUGUUUAUAAAUUAUUUAAAUUUUAAAAAUUUGACUUUCAUAUUAUUUUAUUAUCUUAUGUAGUGUAUAUUUUUAUGUUUCAUAGAAUUGUUAUGUGAUUUUCGAUAUAAUUUUACUAAAUAUUAUCAAA
rnacentral:lncRNA from 1 species